UCCCCAGCCAUUGUGUCAUAUCCCGGAGCUGUGAACUAUAGAUGUGCGGUUGGGAAAGUACUCAACGGAGAAGCCAACCCUACAUGCACAGCAUCUAGGAAGCUCAGUUCUGUUCCCACCUGUUCAGUCCGUACGUGCAGCGUACCAGCAUUAGCUAACGGCGGGAGCAAGACCACAGAGGUGACUUAUUUGGAAAGGGUGAACUUCACAUGCAACACAGGAUACACCUUGGUACAUCACACCUACCCACCCGUCUGUGAUGCUGAUGGCAAUAUCCUCUCUAACCAAACCUGUGAGCGAUAUAAUGGAUUAAACGGGAAUGCAACCUGCAAGGCAACUGGUACAAUUCUCCGAAUCUC